UACGUAGGGGGCGAGCGUUGCUCGGAAUCACUGGGCGUAAAGCGCUCGUAGGCGGCUUUCUAAGUCCGGGGUGAAAUCCUGGAGCUCAACUCCAGAACUGCCUUUGAUACUGGGAAGCUCGAGUCCGGAAGAGGUGAGUGGAACUCCGAGUGUAGAGGUGAAAUUCGUAGAUAUUCGGAAGAACACCAGUGGCGAAGGCGGCUCACUGGUCCGGUACUGACGCUGAGGUGCGAAAGCGUGGGGAUCAAACAGG
rnacentral:rRNA from 1 species